GAUGAUGAGUAACCAAUUACCAUCUUUCGGCUGA
ensembl:snoRNA snoZ196 Small nucleolar RNA Z196/R39/R59 family